UACGAAGGGGGCUAGCGUUGCUCGGAAUCACUGGGCGUAAAGCGCACGUAGGCGGGUCGUUAAGUCAGGGGUGAAAUCCUGGAGCUCAACUCCAGAACUGCCCUUGAUACUGGCGAUCUCGAGUUCGGGAGAGGUGAGUGGAACUGCGAGUGUAGAGGUGAAAUUCGUAGAUAUUCGCAAGAACACCAGUGGCGAAGGCGGCUCACUGGCCCGAUACUGACGCUGAGGUGCGAAAGCGUGGGGAGCAACAGG
rnacentral:rRNA from 1 species